rnacentral:SRP_RNA from 1 species
GCUGGGUGUGGUGGAGUGCACCUGUAAUCCCAGCUACCCAGGAGACUGGGGUGGGAGGAUUGCUUGAGUCCAGGAGGUCAGGGCCGCAGUGAGCCAUAAUUGUGCCACUGCACUCCAGCCUGGGCAACAAAGUGAGAUACUAUCUUAA